rnacentral:rRNA from 1 species
GGAUAAGGAAAGUAAAAAAGGGCGCAUGGCGGAUGCCUUGGCUCUCGGAGGCGAUGAAGGACGUGAUAAGCUGCGAUAAGCUUUGGGGAGGUGCAAAUGACCUUUGAUCCAGAGAUUUCCGAAUGGGACAACCCAAUAUCUUGAAGAGGUAUUAUCUUACUAUGUAAGAGGCUAACGCAGGGAACUGAAACAUCUUAGUACCUGCAGGAAAAGAAAAUAAACAAUGAUUCCCCCAGUAGUGGCGAGCGAACGGGGAACAGCCCAAACCAUCCAUGUUACGGCAUGGGUGGGGUUGUAGGACUACGCCGUUGCAUGAAGACAUCAGAGAAGAACUUUCUGGAAAGAAAGACCAUAGAGCAUGACAGUUGCGUAUUCGAAUGUUGUCGAAGCAUAGUAGUAUCCUGAGUAGCGCGGAGCACGAGGAAUUCUGCGUGAAUCUGCCGGGACCAUCCGGUAAGGCUAAAUACUCCCGAGAGACCGAUAGCGAACCAGUACCGUGAGGGAAAGGUGAAAAGCACUUCGAACAGAAGAGUGAAAUAGUUCCUGAAACCGUGCGCCUACAAGCGGUCGGAGCUCGUUAAUGAGUGACGGCGUGCCUUUUGCAUAAUGAACCUACGAGUUGCCUUUGCCGGCAAGGUUAAGUGUGACGACACACGUAUCCGAAGCGAAAGCGAGUCUGAACAGGGCGUAUAGUCGGCAGUGGCAGACGCGAAACCAAGUGAUCUACCCUUGGCCAGGUUGAAGGCUGGGUAACACCAGCUGGAGGACCGCACCAAUAAGCGUUGAAAAGCUUCUGGAUGAGCUGAGGGUAGGGGUGAAAGGCUAAUCAAACUUGGAGAUAGCUCGUACUCCCCGAAAUGCAUUUAGGUGCAGCCUUGCGGGUUACUGAUGUGAGGUAGAGCGACUGAUAAGAUGCGAGGGCUUCACCGCCUAUCAAGUCUUGACAAACUCCGAAUGCGCAUCAGUUCUACCGCAGGAGUGAGGGCAUGGGUGCUAAGGUCCGUGCCCGAGAGGAGAAGAAUCCGGACCACCUGCUAAGGUCCCGAAAUGACAGCUAAGUUAAACUAACGAAGUCUGACUGCUAAGACAGCUAGGAUGUUGGCUUGGAAGCAGCCAUUCAUUUAAAGAGUGCGUAACAGCUCACUAGUCGAGGAGUCGGGCGUGGAUAAUAAUCGGGUAUCAAGUUGUCUACCGAAGCAGUGGGAUCAUUAAUAUGAUCGGUAGGGGAGCAUUCCAGUCAGCGUCGAAGGCGUACCGUGAGGUAUUCUGGAGCGUCUGGAAAAGCAAAUGUAGGUAUAAGUAACGAUAAAGGGGGCGGGAAACCCCCUCGCCGAAAGACUAAGGUUUCCUGAUCAACGCUAAUCGGAUCAGGGUCAGUCGGGUCCUAAGGCUCAGCCGAACGGCGAUGCCGAUGGCAGAAACGGUUAAUAUUCCGUUACUACCUUCAGGAGUGACGUGGAGACGCAGUAGUGACAGUGCCGCCAUCUGACGGAAUAGAUGGUUGAAGGGUGUAGGAGUCGAUCAUGGCAGGCAAAUCCACCAUGAGAUCCGAACUUGAGAGUAUGCCGCGUCCUUCGGGACAAGGCAAUAGUGCGCGUAAGCAUGCUGCCGAGAAAAUCCGCUAAACUUAAUCCUGCAGGUACCCGUACCGCAAACGGACACACGUAGUCGGGAUGAAUAUUCUAAGGCGCUUGAGUGAUUCACGGUUAAGGAACUAGGCAAACUGACCCUGUAACUUCGGGAUAAAGGGUCCCUACCCUUUUAUGGGAGGGCGCAGAGAAUCGGUCCAGGCAACUGUUUAACAAAAACACAGGGCUGUGCCAAAUCGAAAGAUCCAGUAUACAGCCUGACACCUGCCCGGUGCUGGAAGGUUAAGAGGAGAUGUCAUCGAUAAGAGAAGCGUUGAAUUGAAGCCCCAGUAAACGGCGGCCGUAACUAUAACGGUCCUAAGGUAGCGAAAUUCCUUGUCGGGUAAGUUCCGACCUGCACGAAUGGUGUAAUGAUCUGGACGCUGUCUCAACCGUGAGCUCAGUGAAAUUGUAGUAUCGGUGAAGAUGCCGAUUACCCGCGAUGGGACGAAAAGACCCCGUGAACCUUUACUAUAGCUUAUCAUUGAAUCUGGGCACGUGAUGUGUAGGAUAGGUCGGAGGCUUUGAAGCAGGUACGCCAGUAUUUGUGGAGCCGCUGUUGAAAUACGACCCUUUAUUUGUUUGGAUUCUAACCCGUGGAACGGGGACAUUGAUUGGUGGGUAGUUUGACUGGGGUGGUCGCCUCCAAAAGCGUAACGGAGGCUUCUAAAGGUGCCCUCCGGCCGAUUGGUAACCGGCCUUAGAGUGUAAUGGCAUAAGGGCGCUUGACUGGGAGACUGACAAGUCGAUCAGGUAGGAAACUAGAGCAUAGUGAUCCGGUGUUUCCGUAUGGAAGGGACAUCGCUCAAAGGAUAAAAGGUACUCCGGGGAUAACAGGCUGAUCCCUCCCAAGAGCUCAUAUCGACGGAGUGGUUUGGCACCUCGAUGUCGGCUCGUCACAUCCUGGGGCUGGAGAAGGUCCCAAGGGUUGGGCUGUUCGCCCAUUAAAGUGGCACGCGAGCUGGGUUCAGAACGUCGUGAGACAGUUCGGUCUCUAUCUAUCGUGGGCGCAUGAAAUUUGCGUGGCUCUGACACUAGUACGAGAGGACCGUGUUGGACAGACCUCUGGUUUGCCGGUUGUGCCGCCAGGUGCAUUGCCGGGUAUCUAAGUCUGGAUCGGAUAAGUGCUGAAAGCAUCUAAGUACGAAGCCGGCCACAAGAUUAGAUUUCUCAGGGUCGUUGUAGACUACGACGUUGAUAGGAUGCAGGUGUAAAGAUGGAGACAUCAAAGCCGAGCAUUACUAAUUGCCCGUUCACUUUCCUUA